GAGGCACAGCCCCACACACAGCAUUUCCUCACUCCCUAUUCUCCUGUCCCAGGAAUUGGCAUUUUGGCUCAGCUGUUCCCAAAGGGGACUCCCACAGCACCUCAGUGGAAUGCCCAGCUUAGGGCCUGGAUCUCCUCUCCUGGAAGCAAAAUGUAAAACCUCCCAUUAGGUGACAAACAGCAAAGCAAGAGGUCACAGCAAAUGUCAAACACAAGAGAGCUGUUCAAUUAAGGGCAACCUUACAAAAUCCAAACCGUUACCAACAGCAGCCUGGACGUCAUCCUUGCCCCAGCAAAGCCACCACCCUGACAGAAGCUAUUACACAAGAGUCUGCACUUGAAAA
rnacentral:lncRNA from 1 species